GAUGAAGAACGUAUCGAAAUGCGAUAAGUAAUGUGAAUUGCAGAAUUCAGUGAAUCAUCGAAUCUUUGAACGCACCUUGCGCCCUUUGGUAUUCCGAAGGGCAUGCCUGUUUGAGUGUCAUUAAAUUCUCAACCUUGAAAGGCUUUACAAGUUUUUCAAGGCUUGGAUCUGGAGGCUGCGGGCUUCAUUCUUUGAAGUCGGCUCCUCUUAAAUGCAUUAGCUGGGUUUGCGCCUUCAGCCUAUUGGUGUGAUAAUUAUCUACGCCUCCUGGCCGUCAGCGUGUUAUACCUCUCCAGCUUCUAACCGUCUCUUGUAGACAAUCUUUGACCAUUUGACCUCAAAUCAGGUAGGACUACCCGCUGAACUUAAGCAUAUCAAUAAGCGGAGGA
rnacentral:misc_RNA from 1 species